rnacentral:rRNA from 1 species
UACGUAGGGGGCAAGCGUUGUCCGGAAUCAUUGGGCGUAAAGCGCGUGUAAGCGGUUCGGUAAGUCUGCUGUGAAAGUCCAGGGCUCAACCCUGGGAUGCCGGUGGAUACUGUCGGACUAGAGUACGGAAGAGGCGAGUGGAAUUCCCGGUGUAGCGGUGAAAUGCGCAGAUAUCAGGAGGGACACCUAUUGCGAAGGCAGCUCGCUGGGACGCAACUGACGCUGAGACGCGAAAGCGUGGGGAGCAAACAGG